GGCUCCGUGGUGUAGUGGUUAUCACAUCUGCCUAACACGCAGAAGGUCCCGGGUUCGAAACCCGGCGGAACCU
rnacentral:tRNA from 1 species